CGAACGGGUGAGUAAUAUAUCGGAACGUGCCCAGUAGUGGGGGAUAACUGCUCGAAAGAGCAGCUAAUACCGCAUACGACCUGAGGGUGAAAGGGGGGGAUCGCAAGACCUCUCGCUAUUGGAGCGGCCGAUAUCAGAUUAGCUAGUUGGUGGGGUAAAGGCCUACCAAGGCAACGAUCUGUAGUUGGUCUGAGAGGACGACCAGCCACACUGGGACUGAGACACGACCCAG
rnacentral:rRNA from 1 species